ACUUCACCAAGCGGCCGGUCCGAGGGGACAUGGCGGCAACCUCUGCAGCGUCAGUGCUGCUGGCGGGUGCAAGAAACUGGUGGCGACACUGCCUGAGCCCGCUGCUGUUGCCAAGGUGACGAGGCAUAAAGCCGCGGUGGAUCGAGUCUCACUUCAUCACCAUGCUGGAGUGCAGUGGCACUAUCUGAGAUCACUGCAAUCUCCGCCUCUCGGAUUCAAGCGAUUCUCGUGCCUCAGCCUCCCGAGUAGUAGCUGGGAGUACAGGCAUGUGCCACCAUGCCCAGCUAAUUUUUGUAUUUUUGGUACAGACCUGGUUUCGCCUUGUUGGCCAGGCUGGUCUCGAGCUUCUGACCUCAAGUGAUCCGCCUGCCUCGGCCUUCCAAAGUGCUGGGAUUACAGGCGUGAACCACUGAGACUGGUCAGUUAUUGGCUCUUUUUAAAGAUUGUGUUGCUUUCUGCCUCAAUAUUAAUAUGUUGGAAGUUACCAAGAAGUUCAUGACAGAUCUAUUUCAAAUUCUGGUGAAGAAGGAAGAAUUGGCCCUUGAAAGAAUCAGUGUUUUACAAUAAUUUUGAAAGAGGGUAAUGUUUUUCUAAUUGAUAUACAUAAAAACCAUAGCCAGGGAUUUAAAAUUUACCUUCUUGUUUAAGCUCUGUACUAAAAUUGCAGAAACUAGUAUCGUGUCUUACCAUUUGUAAUAAAGCUAUCAGAGAAAACCCAAGGAAAAAAACAGCUGUACCAGAUAGAAAAACUGAGUUGAACCUUUUUUUUUUCUUUUUUUUAGAUGGAGUCUCACUCUGUCACCCAGGCUGGAGUGUAGUGGCGCGAUCUCAGCUCACUGCAGUCUCCAUCUCCUGGGUUCAAGUGAUUCUCCUGCCUCAGCCUCCCAAGUAGCUGGGAUCACAGGUGCCCACCACCAUGCCUGGCUAGUUUUUUGUAUUUUUAGUAGAGACAGGGUUUCACCAUGUUGGCCAGGCUGGUCUUGAACUCCUAACCUCAGCUGAUCUGCCUGCCUCGGCCUCCCGAAGUGCUGGGAUUACAGGCGUGAGCCAUCGUGCCUGGCCUGAGUUGAACCUCUUUUUUAACAACAGGGUACUUUGUUCUAAGAUUUGGUACAGUAAUAUCUAUAUUUAAGCAGAAUUAGUAAAAUCAAUGAAUAACUAUUCUCUUCCAAUGGUAGGGAUGAGGUAUAGAAAUCAAAUGGCUUUUUAUUCCAACUCUGACAUGAAUUAACAUUUUCUUCUUGGGAAUACUAUAAGGAAGGAAAUUGUAUGCUCUUUAUGACAAGAGAUUGACCAGUCAGGUUGUUCCUUGUAGAACACAGAGUGAAAGGUAUCCGGGCUUCUAAGAAACAGCAUAUGCCAGUUUCUGGUGUGAUAAGAGCUGCUCUUCCCUAGUAUUGCUAAUUAAGAUGCUAUUAAUAUCUGAUUAUAGUUGAGCCUUGAACGACAUGAUUAGGGGCACCAACCCCCAUACAGUCGAAAAUCUGCAUAUAAUUUGACUCCCCAAAAACUUUACUAUGAACAGCUUAAUGUUGACCAGAAGCCCUACUAAUAAUAGUCGAUUAAACACAUAUUUUGUAUGUUAUACAUAUGAUAUAUUGUAUUCUUACAAUAAAAGAAACUAGAGAAAAGAAAAUGUUAUUAAGAAAAUCGUAAGGAAGAGAAAAUACUUUUACUAUUCAUUAGGUGGAAGUGGAUCACCAUAAAGGUCUUCAUCUUCCUCAUGUUCAUGUCAAGUAGGCUAAGGAGGAGGAGAGAGUGGAGGGGUUGGUCUUGCUGUCUAAAGGGUGGCAGAAGGAGAAGAAAAGCCACGUGUAAGUGGUCCUGCCCAGUUCAGACCCGUUUCCUUCAAGGGUCCACUGUAUUUUCUUAGUAAACUGAGGCAGGAUCUAGUUACAUUGUAGCUGUGAAGUGCUGCAUUGUCUUUGCCCCCUGCUCAAAAUAAAACUGUUACCUUUCAAGCCCUGUCUGCCAUGGUGCUGUAGCAGCAGGGAUGUUUGGUCUCAUACAUGUUUACCAAUUUAAGUACUGACUUGACAAAUGACUCUUGAGAAUUAGGGGUUGGUGGUGUUUUGCAGGUAGCGACAGAAGGAAGAAAACAUUAUCAGGAGGGAAUUCAGAUAAAGGACAAACCAUAUUUUGACUGCUACUGACUUGUUGAACUGGCAGUCGGGGUCAACUUGGGAAGACAGCUGUGACCAUAAAUAUUAAAGAAGACAAAAGGAUUCUUUGUGACACUGAGACCUUCUGCAGUACCACAGUGGAGGAAAUGCCAGUGUACACAACUGGCCUCAUUUAAUUCCUGGGAGGAGAUAGUUUGGGAUGCAGUGCUUGUUGUUGCUGAGCAGGCGAUCACAGCAUGCACUGUGUUUCUUUCUUUGAGAAUAUUUGAAUCCUGCCUGAAUACUCGUAACAGAUGAGAGACGCAGGUUUUGAUAGCAUAGAUUUACGCUGUCAUUAGUCAUGAGCUCUUGGGACGAAAGUAAUUGGUUUUAUCCUGUUUAGAGUUAGACCCUGUGGUUGGGUAUGAAAGAUGAGUGUCUGUAAAAAUCCUUCUUAGAAAUGUAUUUCCUCAAGACUCUGUCUCAAAAAAAAAAAAAAGAAAUUUAUUUCCUAGUUCUGUAAAAAUCGCUAUAUUGAGUGUUCUCUAUCACUUAAUAAUAUACUUAUUAUUAAGUGGACUUAAAGAUAUGCAGUGUAUAAAAUCAGCUAAUUACGUUAAACCAUGGUAUCUCCCUUUAUUGUGUUAGACUGAAUAGAACAAACUUUAAAAUAAUUUUUUAAAGAAUAUAUUUGAAUUCAUUUUGUUUGAUAAUAUGUUUUUAUUCAGAAAAGCAUUUUAUUAGCGCUAGGUGUGAACCCGAGCCUUUUGCUAAAUACCAGCAGCAAUCAUGUCCUAGAGUUAAAUCCCAGAAAAAUUGCCAUAUUAUAUAUUAAAGGUUCAAUAAAUUACAAUAAAGUAUUUUUUCUUUAAAGUGAUUUGGUCCUUAUUCCUUAAAAAUCAUACUUUUUGCCAUAACUCCAUAUUUGCAAAGGAAGAAGAUGAAAUGAAAUAGUACUCUAUAGUAAAUAUUUUAUUCCAGUUACAAAAUUACAUACAAAUGUGGCUUUUUAUAAAAAGGUUUAAUAGUUCCAAAUUGGGCUGGGUGCGGUGGCUCAUAGGCCGGGCACGAUGGCUCAUGCCUGUAAUCCCAGCACUUUGGGUGGCCCAGGCGGGCAGAUCACCUGAGGUCAGGAGUUCGAGACCAGCCUGACCAACAUGGUAAAACCCUGUCUCUACUGAAAAUACAAAAUCAGCCAGGCGUGGUGGUAUGUGCCUAUGAUCCCAGCUACUCGGGAGGCUGAGGCAGGAGAAUCGCUUGAACCCGGGAGGCAGAAGUUGCAGUGAGCCAAGAUCACACCACUGCACUCCGAACCUGGGCGACAGAGCGAGACUCUGUCUCAAAACAACAACAACAACAAAAGUUCCAAGUUAGCUGCUGCUUGGCACUAGCACAAAGACUGAUCAAUGAGGGUGUUCAUCAGCACCGUCUGCCAAGCAUUAUCUGCUUCUUAUGAGAAAAAGGAAGCAAUUGAACAUAAGAUUUUUCCCUCUUCUGGUGUGGCAAAAAUUUUCUGGUACAUGCAAAGUAGUUACAUAACAGCAAAGUUUUCUUUGUUAAUGGACUAAUAUUAAUCAGUAAAGUUUUUUUUUCCGUAACAAUAACACAGAGUAGAUAUAAUGGGUCCUAUAAAAGAAAAAUUGACAUUGAACGUGAUCUUUUUUUUAAAACAAUAGACUUUAUUAUUUAGAGCCAUUUUAGGCCAGCAGAAAAACUGAGCAGAAAGUACAAAGAAUUCCCAUACACUCCCUGUUCUCACACACGCACAGUCUCCCACACUUCUCCAUCCCACACCAGAAUGGUACAUGGGUCACAAUCACUGAACCUCUAUUGACAUGUCAUUAUCACUCAAAGUCAUAGUUUACAUUAGGGUUCAUUCUUGGUAUUGUACAUUCUAUGGAUUUAGAGAAAUUUAUGAUGAGGUGUCCACCAUUAUAGCACCAUACAGAGUAUUUUCACUGCCCUGAAAAUCCUCUGCUCUACUGAUUCAUCCCUCCCCGCAACCCCUGGCAACCACUGAUUUUUUCUUUUCUUUUCUUUUCUUUUUUUUUUGAGACGGAGUCUCGCUCUGUCGCCCAGGCUGGAGUGCAGUGGCGUGAUCUCGGCUCACUGCAACCUCUGCCUCCCGGGUUCAAGCGAUUCUUCUGCCUCAGCCUCCCAAGUAGCGGGGACUACAGGCGCCCACCACCAUGCCCGGCUAAUUUUUGUAUUUUUAGUAAAGACGGGAUUUAGUAAAGACCGUGUUAGCCAGGAUGGUCUCGAUCUCCUGACCUCGUGAUCCAUCCGCCUCAGCCUCCCAAAGUGCUGGGAUUACAGGCAUGAGCCACCGCGCCCAGCCGACCACUGAUCUUUUUACUGUCUCUAUGGUUUUCCCUUUUCCAGAAUGUCAUGUAAUUGGAAUCCUACAGUAUAUAGCCUUUUCAGAUUGGCAUCUUUCACUUAUAUCACUUAAGCUUCCUCCAUGUCUUUUCAUAACUUCAUAGCUCAUUUCUUUUUAACAUUGAAUAAUAUUGCAUUGCUUGAAUGUACUACAGUUUAUCCAUUUGCCUACUGAAAGACAUCUAUGUUGCUUCCAAGCUUUGGCAAUUAUGAAUAAAGCUGCUAUAAACAUCAACGCACAGGUUUUUGUGCAGACAUAAGUUUUCAGCUCCUUUGGGUAAAUACCAAGGAGCGUGAUGGCUGGAUCAUAUGGUAAGAGUAUGCUUCAUUUUGUAAGAAACUGCCAAACUGUCCUCCAGCUUGGCUGUGCUAUUAUAUUCCCACCAGCAGUGGAUGAGAGUACUGUUGCUGCACAC
rnacentral:lncRNA from 1 species